rnacentral:rRNA from 1 species
AACGAACGCUGGCGGCAUGCCUAACACAUGCAGGUCGAACGAGACCUUCGGGUCUAGUGGCGCACGGGUGCGUAACGCGUGGGAACCUGCCCUUAGGUUCGGAAUAACUCCCCGACAGGGGUGCUAAUACCGGAUAAUGUCUUCGGACCAAAGAUUUAUCGCCUUUGGAUGGGCCCGCGUUGGAUUAGCUAGUUGGUAGGGUAAAAGCCUACCAAGGCGACGAUCCAUAGCUGGUCUGAGAGGAUGAUCAGCCACACUGGGACUGAGACACGGCCCAGACUCCUACGGGAGGCAGCAGUGGGGAAUAUUGGACAAUGGGCGAAAGCCUGAUCCAGCAAUGCCGCGUGAGUGAUGAAGGCCUUAGGGUUGUAAAGCUCUUUUACCCGGGAUGAUAAUGACAGUACCGGGAGAAUAAGCUCCGGCUAACUCCGUG